GUAAAGUAGUAUGAAGUAUUUCGAAUUACUUCUUUUCUUCGCCAUCCACAUUUCUCAACUUACUGGUGGGGCUCAUGUGGGUUAUGUGGAAGACAUGUUUGAAACCGAGGGCCUUAUGCCUCUACGACCAACAGUCAUAAAAAGAAAACCACAGACUCUUCCUGCAGUAAGGCGUCCUUUACCAGCCCCGGUCGUGGCCCCAAUUCCCUCGCAACCAGUUAUCCACCAGCAAGCGUACAUGCUUGGAACCGAGGGCCUUAUGCCUCUACGACCAACAGUCAUAAAAAGAAAACAGCAGCCUCUUCCGGUAGUUAGUCGUCUUUUACCAGUCCCGGUCGUGGCCCCAAUUCCUCCAGAACCAGUUAUUCCCCAACAAGCGUACAGAACACAGAAGAGAGAAGAAGUAUCUAACAUAUUUGAAUCUGAGUCACUGAUACCGUUUGAUGAGCAACCCCUUGCCAGAUACAGACGUGCAGUUCCCGACGAUAAUGUCGAGGGUUCAGGAGGUGUUGAUGCCAGUACAACAGUUGGUCCAGCGACGGUCCUGUGUAAUCAGUUAAGUUGUACCGGUACAGAUUGUUUACAGGCUUUCAAUACAACUGAUGUCAACAGUCAGUGUUCAACAACAGGUUCAUGUUACAUUCGCGCCACAUUUAACGAGACGUACAGAUCCGUUGAGGCACGAUGUGACACAAGAAGCACGUGCGACUGGCAAAUGAUGACGGUUGAUACUUGGUUCGAAAUAUCCACGUGCUGUAAUAAGAAUUUCUGCAAUGACCUUGACCAGUUGAAAGCAGGUGGUUCUAUUGUACAUCACACAACGCAAUAUUCUCUCAUAAUAACUGCUAUCUUGUCAAUGUUCUUUGUGUACACACGUUUCCAUAGCAACUUAUGACAAUAAUAAUUACAUUUAUCAUUAUCACCAUUGACAAAAUAUUAUAUGGUGAAUUAUUAAUUAAUAAUUUGAGGGAAAGGUGAUAGAAAAAAAAAAUGACGAAUAUUUUCGCUUUCGGCAUCCAUUUUGGGAUAAGUGGACAGUUAGUGCUAAUCUGCUAUAAUUCUUAAAUAUCGAAAAGAUCUCAUUAAAAUUAAAUCCCAGUCUACGUCAAAUAUCCGUGAAUUUCGUUCAGGGAAAUGGUGUAGCCUUGUGAAAAAAAAGUGGGACAAAAUUUAACAUUUUUGCGAUUCAAAAAUACACACUGAAACGUUUUCAUAGACGCUUCAGUCUUGUUAUUUUACCGGUCAAACGGAAUCGUUUGCUGUUGUUGAAGCUGUACAGACUAUCUGUAUCAGUUCUGUGCCGCUGCAAAAAUGUUAGAAUUCGUCUAGCGUUAUGGAUAUUCACUCGAAACGGCAAAUGACCCUUUCGCUUUCUCACCGCGAUAAGCCAAUAACUUUCUAUCUAACUCAUCACGGUGACGUACAGACAUUCUCGUUAACUCAUCGCAGACAACCAGUGACAUUCUCGCUAACUCGUCGCAGUGAAUUACAUGUAGUUACUUUUUCGCUAACUCGUCGCGGUGAAUUAUUGACUUUUUCGCUCACCCAUUGAGGUGAAUUAGUGACUUUCCCGCUAUCUCAUCGCGGACAACCAGUGACUUUCUCGCUAACUCAUCGCGGACACCCAGUGACUUUCUCGCUAAGUCAUCGCGGAAAACCAGUGACCUUAUUGCUAACGCAUCGCGGUGACUUAGUAACUUUCUCGCUUUCUCUCUAAGUCAUCGCGAAAAACCAGUAACUUUCUUGCUAUCGCAUCGCGUGACUUAGUAACUUUCUUGCUAUCAUGUCAUUAUGAACCACUGACUUUCUAGCGAUAAACCAGUGACUUCCUCGCUAACUCAUCGCGGUCAACCAGGCUAACGUAGAAACGCGUGGUGUCAUUAUCAAUUGAAUGACGGGAAAAGCGAAUAAAUUUGUAUUUUUCUAUUUCACUAAAUUCGUUUUAUACAUGCAACCGGUGGUAAAAUAUCCCAGCAAAUCCUUGAAAAUAUAUCUCUAUUAUUAAUGUGAUAUUCGAUAUUUUGUUUUAUUUCGUCGUACAUUUUAUCAAUGUUUAAAAAUAUUUCAGACUUACUAGCAAAAUGAAAGUUAGCGAUACGCCUACUAUGUUUCUUUUUUAUAUUACGCUCUGCAAUAAAAGCAGGAAAGACAGUCCCAUUUUAAUUACAGUUGGUAAUGGUAGUUAUGUAUAUAAAUUAUUUAUUUUACGAAAUAUAUUGAAUAUUAUCCAGUAACACAAGAAACGCUCAGAUCUGGAUAAGGCGCGGGGAGAGAUGAUCGGUGGUCGCUGACAUGUAAUCCUAAAAAGAUCUCGCGGGUGAAUUUUGCCACCAAGCAGACAUUCUUUCGAGUUUCAUACACCCCCCCCCCCCCUCAUCUUUCCCAGAGAAUAUGAAUAUUAAUUAUACAUUCAAUUUUUUUAAUAUGCGGGCACCGUUGAUAAUUACGCGACUCUCGCACACAAGUAAAGGGAUACGUUUUCAUCUCUAUACACAUGUGUUAAGGGGUGCACAGCCUAUAAGUAUGACGUCAUAUUGUCGGGGCGUUUCUUGUGUGUAACCUGAGUAGUUACUAUCUUU